CUUGCUCAUUUUAUAAAAGUUGAUGAAAAUUGUGUGUUUAGUGAACUUAAUCAUAAUAUUAUUAUUAUUUUUUAUAUUUUCUUGUACUAUGUACAAUUUUUAUACUUAAUUAAUUUGUGUGAAGUGAAAAUAAUUCCUUUUGAAUGGCAAACAGGAGCCUCCUGAUAGUAUUAUACAUUAACUGUAGAGACCAUGUAAUUUGAAUCUCAUCAUAUCAGGGGAUAAUUCUAAGCCUUAUCUGUUUACAAAAAUUGAGGUGUUUCAUCAUGCAAUGAUGUUUACACAUAGAGAUAAAAAAAAACAACACGAAAAUCUCAUUGCAGUAGAAAUAUUGUUUAUUGUUUGAAAGUUUAGUGUAUUUAAAAUUAAAAUUGGUCAGGAGAAAUGUUUCUGUUUCCUUCUGAGGGAGAUUAGUACAUUACAUUUCUUGAGAGUGUUGAAAAUAUGUAUUAUUUUAUGGUUCUUUGGACACCCUAGUUGCCAACUUAUAAGAAUGGAUUAGUAGGUACAAUAGGUUACUGAAAUUUAAGAUUACUGGUGAACAAGGAUAGAAGGUCUGUAGUUACAAUGUACCUCCUGUGCUAGUAAAUCAGAACAUGUAGCUGCUAUAUGGUAACUAGGAUUUACAACCUGUAGAUGUCCUAGUUGCUACACUAUAAGGUUGAUAGCUACAAGCAUUCCAUUUUGUAAUUCCAAACUCUAUACAUACCUCAGUUAUUUUAAAGUAACACCUGCCACAAAGAACUUAUAGUACAUACAUCAGUAAGUGCUAUGUUUAAUAACUUGUGUGUAUGUUUAUAUUUCAGUAGCUGUUAAGGUUUUUAUGGUAUUUUGGCUGCCAGACUUUAAGGUUUGUAGUAUUUGUACUAAUUGUUCAAGGUUAUGUCGAUAGAUGUCAGGAGUGCCCAUACUACAAUAUCUGAUACGGUAUAUGGCUAGGUUCCAAUUUUGCAGACACCCAGGAUGAACAGUCAAGGUCUAGGAUCUGUAAUUAUACUAGAUGUAGAUAUCAGGAUUUCACUUAUUUAUGUAAAUGGCAGUAACUGCAAAGGCUUAGAAUCUAUUUUUAGGUUAGACCUGAAUGUUAAGCAGAGUGCACAGUAUAAAAAUUGUCAAGGCUGGAUGUGGAAAAUUGACAUUAUGAAAACAUAAUAGAGAGCAUGUAAUUGCUGAUGUCUAAUGUCUGUUGUUAGAUUAGAUGUGAGAAAUUAGUAUUGUACAAAAACACUACGCAUGUUCACUGCUAAUAUCCAAGGUGUAUGAGUAAAAUAGAUGUGAAGAAUUAACAUUGCGUAAACAUACUUUAUAUAAUAGCUGUUAAGGCCUAACAACUGGUGUAAGCUUAGGUGUGGACUGUGAAGAAUAGACAUUGUGUAAAGACACUAAGUACAGUAGCAGUUAAUAUAGGCUAACAUUUGUUGUGAGAUUAGAUGUGAAGAAUGGACAUUGUGUAAGGAUAUUAAGUACAGUAGCAAUUAAUAUAGAUUAACAUUUGUUGUGAGAUUAGAUGUGAAGAAUGGACAUUGUGUAAAGAUAUUAAGUACAGUAACAAUUAAUAUAGGUUAACAUUUGUUGUGAGAUUAGGUGUGAAGAAUGGACAUUGUGUAAAGAUGCUAAAUACUGUAAAUGCCAAGCUAAGACCUGUUCUUGGACUAUACAUCUAGUUGGAAUUUCUGUUGUGUAAAAUACUAAUUACAGGAGCUGCUAAUAAGGUAGUUAGAAUAGAAAUGAGGAAUUAAGAUAUAUAAACAUGCCAAAUACAAUGUCUGCCAAAGUCAAAGGUUUAUUUUUAGAUGGCAGGGUCUAAGGUCUAUUUAGAAUAGUAAUUCCCAAGAUGUAACAUUUAUUGUUAAAAUAAAUAGGAUAAUUUAAGGAGUUCAGGAAUUACUGAGGUUUAAGUUCUGACAACACACUAAACACCAGGAUUUGUAUGCUCUGAAUACUAUCAGUUGUCAGAACGUGCAUGUGUACUAUAGUUACAUCUACAGAAUGAAAUCUAGAAUCAUACUGUUAACCAGUGUUUGUGUUUCAGAGCAGUAAUGACAAGGGUCUUCAGAGACACUUCAGUCACUACCUUCCAAUACUAACAAAUGUAGAGGAUAUAGUGAGUAAUCGAUUAAAGUUUAAGGUGUAAAGUCUAUGCAUGUAGGUUAAGUACUCUUUGUAUUUGUAAAUUACACAGCUAAAACAGGAUAUAAAUAUGUGAUUUUAGCUGUUUUGUUUACAGAUAAAUGUGAUUUUUCAGGGAACCUGUGUUAUUUUAUUAGAUAACUUGACAAUUUUUAAAGCCUGUAGAUACAUGCUUACUAGGAGUUGUUUCAGAGAUUAGAGGUUUUUUGCUAGAGGUUUCUGUAGACAUGUUGGUUGCCAAGAGUUUGUGUGAAGACAUAGUGGUUGUCAGACGUUUUUAUAGACAUACUGUUUUCCAAAGGUUUCUGUAGACGUGUUGGUUGCCAAGAGUUUCUGUAGACGUGUUGGUUGCGAAGAGUUUCUGUGAAGACAUAGUGGUUGACAGACGUUUUUAUAGACAUACUGUUUUCCAAAGGUUUCUGUAGACAUGUUGGUUGUCAAGAGUUUCUGUGAAGACAUAGUGGUUGACAGACGUUUUUAUAGACAUACUGUUUACGAAGGUUUCUGUAGUCAUAGUGACUGCUUGGAUGUGCUCGAAAAAUACAUUGAAUUUACCAAUUCUUUUAUAUUUUCUGUAACUAGAUUCAAUUUUAAUUAUUAACUGUUUUUAGGCAUAAAUAUGAAUACUUCCCUGAUGUAUGGAAUAGCCAUAUUUGUUGUAAGAACUGGUAAGGUUGUUUUAGUAGAUGACCAUGUUUCAAUAUAUUUGGGUGGUGUCAUAAAAAGUAGAGAUGUCCUUUUUUCUGGAUAUCCAUCUUGAGAUUGUAAACUUAUUUUAACAUGUACAUCAGCAACUAAAAUGAAAAAAAAAAAAUCAUACAGUUUGUUCUAUAGAAGUUUGUAAGGAACUAGACUGUAUAACCCAAAAUAUCUGUAACCUUCUUAUACUGUAUACACCUCAAGUAGGAAAAAAAUGCCUUUAUUGUCUUUGAAAAAAAAUUGAUUUCUCCUUAUGUAUAUACAUAAAAAAAUAUACACACAUAUAUUUAUGUGUGUGUGUGUGUAUAUGUAUGUAUAUAAAACAGAUUUUAAAAUUGUAUUCGUGGUUUUAAAGCAGUUACUGAGAAACGUUAAAUCACCCCCCCCCCCUCCCCAAGGAAAAAAAUAUAUGGGAGGCAUUAAUAAGAUAAUGAUAUAGUUAAGCAGAAAACAAUUCUAUUAAAUGUUUCUGUAUAUUUUUUCGUAAAUGUAUUACAAAAUGGUUGUAAUAAAAAGUAACGUAUAGUUUGGUUGCAACACCACUAGGAAUAAUAAUGUGGCAAAUAAAAUAAACAUACAUGUUUAAACAAAUUUCUUUUUAGUAAUGAAAGAUGAGGGAUUGUGACGUGAUUUUAUUUUUUGUUGAAAACUAAAUUUUUUCGUCCUGAUAAAACAGGGUACAAGAAUUAUGUGCUUUGGUGCCAAAGUAAAAAAUAAAAUGCGAAUUAUUUAAUGAAUUUAAUACAAUUAUUCCAGUUCAACCACUGGCAGCUGUCUAGAGAUUAAUCCUUAAGAGUUAACAUUCUUUGAAAAAAAAUCACCCAUUGAUUUGAACAGAUAAGUGAAAACAAUGUCCAUGUACUUACGUCAAUAGUGAAGAGAAUAAUGUUUUUCUCAAUAUAAAUCUCGUUUUUUUUUUUUUUCAUUUCUAGCUUGUUGUUAUCAACUUGUUAUUUUUGCAGCGUGUUUGUUUUGUCGGAGUAUUCCAGCAGUAAUGGUAGUCAGAUAACACUAGUUUGUCAGAGGUACAUCGCCUUAAUAUAUUGAAGGGAAGGCUAUAAUCAGAAAUUAUUUAUUUAUUAAGAAAAUGUUUGUGUUAAGUUGGAGUGUAUGUGACUUUCAAAGCUUUCCUUACUUCUUUUUAUUUAAUAGAUUAUUUUCGUAACGUAGUUACGCGAGCAAAAUUAAAUAAAUAUAUAUAUAUAAUAUAUAUAUACGUUAAGAGGCUAACCUACUUUAGAUUAAAAUGUGAUGGUUUGUUAAUUUGCCUUGACUAAUUAUGGACGCUAUGAAAUAAAGUCAGUGCAGAUAACUAACAGGUUUUUAAUAUAAGAAAUCACCUUGUGGAAUGGUAGACCACUAAAUGUUGCUGUGAGUCUAUGUAGGGCAGCACUAAAUAAAUAAAAGACCGAAAAACAACAAUAAAAAAACGAAUGAAGUUAUAACUUUCUUCACUGAAAAUAUUCAACAAUACAUGAUACACGUGGGUGAUGCAUAAGAGCCUAACUUAUUGGACUGGAAAAACGUUUUUUUUUCUUCUUUUUUUACUGGCUCAUUUUAACUUUGCACGUAUGUAACGGUUAUUGAUUCCAGAAAAGCGAGAUGCAUCCCAAGAAAUAACCAGUUAUGCCUAAAUUUAUCUCUCUGUCAAAACCUUGCACUGGCCUCUUACGUAAAACGUGAGUAAUGAAUGACCAGUGUUAGAAAAAUAAUACAUUUUUUUUUUCAGUUAUUCGUACAAUUAAUAUUAUUCUUCAUUUAAUUAUCAUUCUGUUUGAAGGUGUAAUGAUUAUACACGAAUUGUUUAAGAUUUUGUAAGCACGAAACAUAGAUAAGUAUCUUACUUUAACUUGGAAUAACCUAUUCUAACGGUAAGAAGUGAAGAUUUUAAUCUAAAAGAUCAGGAAUGGAAACGACAGUAAGUGUACAAACUUACAUUUGUCAUAAGAAUUGUUCUGUUUAUAAAAGUUUAAUGACAUAUUCAUCGAAAAAAACCUUAACUAUUUCUUCGUUUGUUUUACUUCUGGUAAAUUCUGUAUUAUCAGUGGAUAAUACUUACCUCCAUUAAUUUAUUCUCGAAUUGUCGUGUUUUUGUUGUUGUAUUUCAUUUACUUGUGUCCUUUAAAAAUAUAAUAUAAAUAUUUUCUUUAUUUCUGUGCUAAUUUCAGUGGCUUUAAAAAGAAUGUAUUGUUAUUAUUAUUAUUACAGUAUAUUACUGUCAUUUUCAAUACAAUUUAUACUUAUUUAGCACACAAAUAGAGUGCCAUGGCAGCGUUAUUUGAUGAUGUUACAGAGUAAAAGUGUUACCAUGAGUCAUUACAAGGUUGGGACAGAUAGUGAUGGUUCAUUGGUUAAUGUGUUAGUGACGUUUAGUGUGUCUGCUGGUAUUUUAUGGGUUUGUAAUGAAAAAUUGUCAUUUGUUGUGUAACAUCAAUUAUUGUGAGACAAUUUUAUGGUUCACAUUUGUGUAUUUAUGCAACGUAAUAAUCAUUAAUAAUAUACUCGUACAUCUAAAUAUCUAAUAAUUCGCAGUUGAGAAUUAUUUUUUUUGCUCGUAAUAAUCAUUUUUUAAAAUAAGACAAUUCGAUGUUAAUAAAAUUUACUAUGGAACUUUGGUGCGCAUGUUCUUGCCAUGAGAUAUAAUGCAAAGUUAAACUAUGGGAAGGUAUGAGAAACACUACUGUUAAUCUAAACUGUACUGAACAUGUUCUCAAAAUUAAUGUGGUUUUUUCUGUAUUUUGAAAUAAGUUACUUAACUUUUAGAAUUUCAUGCAAACCCUGCAAAUUAAACACUUAUAGACAACUUCCCAUUGUGUUAUGUACAUUUGUAAAGGAAAAUUAUAAGGUCAAAAGGUGCUUUCUCACAAACUUGGAUUAUUAUUAGUAAAUACAUGUUUCAAGAGAGAUUCUUUCCGGUAAUAUUAGUUUAGUUAUACUGAUAUAGCAGGAACUAUAGUUAUUUGUACUUAAUGGACAUGUUUCUAUUAUGCUAACCUAUGAGAAAACUGAUAUUUUAACUGUAGUAGCAAGGGGUUUAUAAAUUAUAGUCGUAAUGAACGGCUGUAUUUUAUCAACGAUAAUAUUCUCUGUUAUAUAUCAAACCUGUUGCCAUCUGUUGAGCAUUUUAGAAAAUAUAAUAUAUGGAAAGCUAUGUAACAUUUCUGCAUUACCACGAAAACUUGAUAUGAACUAAGCUACCUUUAAUUUCAAUAUAUAAAUUAGAAAUAGCGUUUCUAAAGCUGACAACAGAUGGCGGUAUAUGUAGCGGUUCAUUGCGAGUCCCCAAACUGGUCUUCGAUAAACGAGAGUUAAAAACGAUGAUUCAAAGUACAGGUAAAAGAAUGUUUUAAAAUGGAUAUGCUUGAUCGAAUUAGUAAAAUGUAAUACAAUAAACAAAUACUAGUAUUAUGUAUUAUCAUGUAUAAUGUUUUCCAAGUAUAUGUCUAUGUAUUUAUCAUGUACUUAAAACUACAAGUUUGUAAAUGACUGUACAUAAUAUUGUGUCUUAUGAAGUGUAAUGAUAUUUAAUGUGUGAUUGUGAUUUAAUUAUUUAUAUUGUUGAAGCUAAAAUAGCAUCUUGAAAAGUUCUUAGAGUUUUAAAGUAUUAACGUGUGUUGUAAAAAGAUUUUUAACUGUUUUCUUCGUAUGCAGAACAAUUACGUGUAAACCUAUUAUGUACUUUGUCACUAGUUAUAAGAAAUUCGUGUAUUGUUGAAGUCACGAUUAGCCUGUUUAUAUUCUACUUGGUAUGUGUACAUAGUGUCUCCUUUUUUCUAUAUAUACUUUGCCAGAUUUUGUACUUCUCUGCUAUCCGUAUUGUCAUUUCAGAAGUGCGAAAUAAAUUGUAGCUUGAAUUUGUCUUCAUGUAAUAAAAAUUAAUGAUUCAAAUAAAGUC
rnacentral:lncRNA from 1 species